GUAUGAUAAUUGAGACUGAGCUAACAGAUGAGAAUCCUAGUCAUUGGCCAAGCAGCUUUGUGACUAAUACAAGUCUCUCUGUGUAUUCAUUUGGGCCUAACUCGGGCGGGUGGCUGGCAUAAAGCUCACAUGUGGCGGUGGGGCUCAGACAGCUUUUGGCAGAAAGAUUUAUCGUAACAGGUGAUGGUUUCAAUUCUUUCCACAUUUUCUCCAACAUUUAUCAUCAGAUUUUUGCAUGAUAGCCAUGAUGACUAGAGUGGUAUUUCACAGCAAUAGUUUUAACUUGCAUUUUCCUAGGGACUAGGGAUAGUGAACCUUUUUCUUUUCUUCCUUCCUUCCUUCCUUCCUUCCUUCCUUCCUUCCUUCCUUCCUUUCUUUCUUUUGAGACAGCCUCCAAAGCUACACAGAGAAACCCUGUCUCAAAAAAACAAAAAAAUAAAAAAACUAAUUUGUCAGCACCAUCUGUUGAGCAGGCCAUCUUUUUUCUUUCUUUCUUUCUCUCUUAUUUUAGUUUAUUGAAGGGAAAGGGAAGAAGAGAAGGGGGAAAGGGGAGAGAGAAAGAACCAGAGAAGAGGGACAGAGAAGCAGGGUGGGGGUGGGGAGGGUGUUUUCUAAAAGUAUCUUUCUGCCUUCUUUGUCAUGAAUUUGGUGGGAAUUUGCCAUUUUGCCUCUAUUCUGUUCCAUUGGUCUUCUUUUCUCCCCCCACCACCCCAAGACAGGAUUUCUCUGUGUAGCCCUGACUGUCCUAGAACUCACUCUAUAAACCAGGCUGGCCUUGAACUCGGAGAUCCUGAGUGCUGGGAUUAAAGGCAUGCACCACCAUCAAUCACCAGCCUCUUCCUUUUAUUUUUAUGCCAGUGUGUCUUUGUCACUAUAGCUCUGUAGAAUAAUUACACCCCAGCACUGUUCUCUCUCCUGAGGAUUGCUUUGGCUAUUUGUGGUAUAUUGUGGUUCCAUUUGAAUUUGUACAUUAAUUUUUCUAAACCUUUGAGAUAGAACAUAGGAGUUUUGAUAAGUAUUGCAUUAAUUCUUUUCUAAAAGAUUUUAUUUAUUUAUUAUGUAUACAGUCUUCUGCCUGUAUGCCAGCAGAGGAUACCAGAUCUCAUUCAAGGUGGUUGUGAGUCACCAUGUGGUUGCCAGGAAUUGAACUCAGGACCUCUGAAAGAGCAGUCAGCGCUCUUAACCUUUGAGCCAUCUCUCCAGCCCCCACAUUAAUUCCCUGUAUUAGUCUUGGCUUAGAUAUUUCAAUAUUAAUUCUACCAAUUCUGGAGCAUGGAAUAUUUUUUCAAAAUCUAGUAUCUUCUGUGAUUUUUCUUUUUCAUUAACUUGAAUUUUUGUUGUAGAAAUAUUUCACUUCUUUGGCUAGAUAUAUAUUUUGUAACAUUUUGUUGGUUGGUUGGUUGAGACAGGAUGUUUCUACAUUGUAAGUGUUGCAGCUCUGAAGGGAAAGGUAUCCUGACUGUCGGGAGCCAAACUGUAUCUAUAGCUGCAAAGGGAAAGAUAUCCUGACUGUCAGAAGACAGACUAUACCUAUAGCUGUGAAGGGAAGGUAUCCUGGAUACCUAUAACUUCAGAGAGAAGGUAUCCUGACUGUUGGGAGCCAGGCUACACCUAUAGCUGUGUUCCAGUGAGUGACGGUUUCCCCUCAGGGUGCUGUCACAGCACAGGUGAGCCUGAUGGUCCAACUUAGUGAUAACUUAAAUAAUUGCUUCCUGGUGGACUUCCAGAGCAAGCACCAUGUCUGCCUGCAGGCUGCCGUGUCCCACCAUGAUGAUAGCGGACUGAACCUCUGAACUGUAAGUGAGCCACCACAACCAAAUGUUUUCCUUUCAGAGAAUUGCUGUGAUCAUUGCUGUGUCUUCACAGCAAUAGAAACUGUAACUAAGACAGAAGUGAAGGACCUGUUGCACUUUGCAGGUUGUCCUAGUCCAUCACUGGGAGAAGCCGGGUCAGACACUCAAGGCAGGAUCCUGGAAGCAGGAACUGACGGAGAGGCCAUGAAGGAAUGCUACUUACUGGAUGCUCUGAGCUGCAGUGAUGGGGAUGUCAUGGUGAUGAAGAAGAGGAAGAAGGAGAAGGGGAGAGGAAGGAGAAGGAGAAGGAGAAGAAGAAGAAGAAGAAGAAGAAGAAGAAGAAGAAGAAGAAGAAGAAGAAGAAGAAGAAGAAGAAGAAGAAGAAGAAGAAAUAAUUAGCUAAACUGUUUUAAAAAUAGUCUGUUACCUCUCUAGCAACAAGAGGCACCAAAGUAAUGUAACUCAAGGACUUGUGUUAAAGUCAUCAAAGCCAAGUUUCUUUCUGUCCUCAGUGCAUUAUCUUAGUCUGUACACCAGUUCUCCUCUGAGACACAAGAUGGCUACAGAAGGUCCAGAUCUCACAUCAUUACCGCUAUGGUCGAUACCAGAAAAGGGCUCUUUUUUUUUUUUUUCAUUCUGCUUUCCUAUUUUUGUCAUAGAAU
rnacentral:lncRNA from 1 species